rnacentral:rRNA from 1 species
GUCGGUGCCGAUGGUGGUGAGGGUACACCCGUUCCCAUACCGAACACGGCAGUUAAGCUCACUUGCGCUGAAGAUACUUGGUCGGAAGCGACCCGGGAAAAUAAGAAGGCGCCGACA